UGGGGAAUUUUGGACAAUGGGCGAAAGCCUGAUCCAGCAAUGCCGCGUGUGUGAAGAAGGCCUUCGGGUUGUAAAGCACUUUUGUCCGGAAAGAAAUCCUUGGCUCUAAUACAGUCGGGGGAUGACGGUACCGGAAGAAUAAGCACCGGCUAACUACGUGCCAGCAGCCGCGGUAAUACGUAGGGUGCAAGCGUUAAUCGGAAUUACUGGGCGUAAAGCGUGCGCAGGCGGUUUGCUAAGACCGAUGUGAAAUCCCCGGGCUCAACCUGGGAACUGCAUUGGUGACUGGCAGGCUAGAGUAUGGCAGAGGGGGGUAGAAUUCCACGUGUAGCAGUGAAAUGCGUAGAGAUGUGGAGGAAUACCGAUGGCGAAGGCAGCCCCCUGGGCCAAUACUGACGCUCAUGCACGAAAGCGUGGGGAGCAAACAGGAUUAGAUACCCUGGUAGUCCACGCCCUAAAACGAUGUCAACUAGUUGUUGGGGAUUCAUUUCCUUAGUAACGUAGCUAACGCGUGAAGUUGACCGCCUGGGAAGUACGAUCGCAAGAUUAAAACUCAAAUGAAUUGACGGGGUCAUAGCUGUUUCCU
rnacentral:rRNA from 1 species